GGGCUAUCUAGCCUUCGGGACAAAUAAGGGCAAGACAGGCCUGGGAACCUUCUAGAAGCUGCCCACCUGGAAUGAACCAGUCGACUCCCCUUCUUCCCUCUCUCCCCUUCCCUCCUGCUGUCAUCCAAGAGAUGGCCAAGAAGCACAAGUCAGCAUCAAGACACACAGCUGGAAAUGGGACUGCAGAGGUGACUGACCAUGUGGCCUAGGAGUCAGAAUCCUCAAAUGGGAAGGCCCUAACUGAGGGCAGAAACCCAGAUCUACCUCCUUUGAUGACGGGAUGUGUAGAAGACAUGAAAGACUAUUUAAUUUUCAGCUCUUCGGGUCAAGUUUGAAGUAGAAAGAACCUAACAAUCUGAAUGCGGUAUGAAGG
rnacentral:lncRNA from 1 species